rnacentral:rRNA from 1 species
AUGCAAGUCGAACGGUAACAUUUCUAGCUUGCUAGAAGAUGACGAGUGGCGGACGGGUGAGUAAUGCUUGGGAACUUGCCUUUGCGAGGGGGAUAACAGUUGGAAACGACUGCUAAUACCGCAUAAUGUCUUCGGACCAAACGGGGCUUCGGCUCCGGCGCAAAGAGAGGCCCAAGUGAGAUUAGCUAGUUGGUAAGGUAACGGCUUACCAAGGCGACGAUCUCUAGCUGUUCUGAGAGGAAGAUCAGCCACACUGGGACUGAGACACGGCCCAGACUCCUACGGGAGGCAGCAGUGGGGAAUAUUGCACAAUGGGGGAAACCCUGAUGCAGCCAUGCCGCGUGUGUGAAGAAGGCCUUCGGGUUGUAAAGCACUUUCAGUUGUGAGGAAAAGUUAGUAGUUAAUACCUGCUAGCCGUGACGUUAACAACAGAAGAAGCACCGGCUAACUCCGUGCCAGCAGCCGCGGUAAUACGGAGGGUGCGAGCGUUAAUCGGAAUUACUGGGCGUAAAGCGCACGCAGGCGGUUUGUUAAGCUAGAUGUGAAAGCCCCGGGCUCAACCCGGGAUGGUCAUUUA